rnacentral:snRNA from 1 species
GUGCUUGCUUUGGCAGUACAUAUACUAAAAUUGGAAUGAUUACAGAGAAGAUUAGUGUUGCCCAGGUAUAAGG